AUACGGAGGGUGCAAGCGUUGUCCGGAUUUAUUGGGUUUAAAGGGUGCGUAGGCGGAUAAUUAAGUCAGUGGUGAAAGACUGCAGCUCAACUGUAGAGGUGCCAUUGAUACUGAUUAUCUUGAGUACAGUUGAGGUAGGCGGAAUUUAUGGUGUAGCGGUGAAAUGCAUAGAUACCAUAAAGAACACCGAUAGCGAAGGCAGCUUACUGGACUGUAACUGACGCUGAGGCACGAAAGCGUGGGGAGCGAACGGGAUUAGAAACCCUUGUAGUCC
rnacentral:rRNA from 1 species